GCACGAUAGGGUUUACUGUAGGACGCGGCGGUCUCAUAUUGACCCUUUUUUUUGUUUGUUGUUCUCACGUUUGUGACGAUCUUCCCCGAAGAGAAAAGAUACGUGACAAUCUGUAUUUCUGCAAAGUUCUGCUUUUUUUGAGAACGUGCAAAGUUCUGCUAAUGUUGCGCCCUUCCGUGUGACACUGAGAGCUUACGGCCCAGACCUUGUCGCCGUCGAACCCGUGGGCCGUAGGGAAAAGAAGUGCAGAGACGGUUUGUCUGACCACGAAUCAUCUGCUGGAAACAAGCCCAUAAAUCCAUCUCCUGGAGUAUCUCAUACCAGCUCUUCCCCUAAAAAGAAAACCUAGACUAAGCUUCUACUACCAACAAAUAAUAACAUCGAACUCAAAGCUUUUUUUUUCUUAUCAAAGAGAGGAGGUAUACCAACGGUGGAUUUUACUGUAAGAUUAUAUUUUAGGAUCUGGAGGGAGGAGAUCGCUGUUCAAUUAUCUUAAAGAAAAAUCUUGAGGUGCCUGAGAGUAUUUUUAUCUGAACUCUUGUUUCGUUUUUAUUCUCUCGUGACAGUCCCCCCGGCGAAAAAAGAAAAAGAAAAAUAACUUCUUGGCUUUUUACUGUAUCUACCGUCGAAAGCAUUAGAUCAGGCUCAGGCUCGGCUUUUCUGCGAUGAUCGAUACGAAAUUCAGCGAGAAACUGUCUAUGAACAAGCAUUCUGAACAC
rnacentral:lncRNA from 1 species